rnacentral:rRNA from 1 species
AAGAAACCAACAGGGAUUGCCCUAGUAACGGCGAGUGAAGCGGCAACAGCUCAAAUUUGAAAUCUGGCGGCCCCCGCGGCAGCCCGAGUUGUAAUUUGUAGAGGAUGCUUUUGGCGAGGUGCCUUCCGAGUUCCCUGGAACGGGACGCCAUAGAGGGUGAGAGCCCCGUACGGCUGGACGCCGAGUCUCUGUAAAGCUCCUUCGACGAGUCGAGUAGUUUGGGAAUGCUGCUCAAAAUGGAGGUAAAUGCCUUCUAAAGCUAAAUACCGGCCAGAGACCGAUAGCGCACAAGUAGAGUGAUCGAAAGAUGAAAAGCACUUUGAAAAGAGGGUUAAACAGUACGUGAAAUUGUUGAAAGGGAAGCGCUCGUGACCAGACUCGGGCCCUGUGGAUCAUCCAGCGUUCUCGCUGGUGCACUCCGCUCGGCCCGGGCCAGCAUCGAUUUCCCCAGGGGGAUUAAAGCCUCGGGAACGUAGCUCCUCCGGGAGUGUUAUAGCCCCUGGCAGAAAGCCCCUGGGGGGAUCGAGGACCGCGCUUCGGCAAGGAUGCUGGCGUAAUGGUCAUCAGCGACCCGUCUUGAAACACGGACCAAGGAGUCAAGCAGUAGGGCGAGUGUUUGGGUGUCAAACCGGCACGCGAAAUGAAAGUGAACGCAGGUGAGAGCUUCGGCGCAUCAUCGACCGAUCCUGAUGUAUUCGGAUGGAUUUGAGUAAGAGCCUUACCGCUUGGACCCGAAAGAUGGUGAACUAUGCCUGGAUAGGGUGAAGCCAGAGGAAACUCUGGUGGAGGCUCGCAGCGGUUCUGACGUGCAAAUCGAUCGUCAAAUCUGGGCAUGGGGGCGAAAGACUAAUCGAA